UCUGAUUGUACUAUGUUGAAAGGAGACAUGCCUAAUAAGCUUCCAUCAUUAACAGAGGUUUCUAUUUCAAAUUGCAAAAUGUUGGAGGCAAAAUCAACAACUUUGCAUUGGAGUGCAUCUAUCGAAGAACUAGCAAUUGUGCAAGGGGAACAGGGGUUAUUAGGAGCUCUUGAUUAUUAUUCUCUGGACUCUUUGAAAUCUAUAACAAUUCAGAAGUGUGAUUGCUUGCGGUCAUUGCCAAGAAUGAUAAUGGAUAGCCACGUUCUUGUAGAUUUGUCUCUCAAUGAUAUCCCAACAAUCAUGUCCUUUCCAAUUAAAGGUUUACCUGCUUCUUUGCAACGUCUUACAAUUGAAAAUUGUGAGAAGUUAGAGUUCUUACCUCAGGAAUCUUUACAAAACUGCACAUCACUUGAACACUUGAGGAUUGUGAAUAGUUGUCAUUCCUUGGUAUCCUUCCCAUUAGGUUGUUUUCCCAAGCUUAAAACCCUUGACAUUAGCGAAUGUCAUAAUUUGGAGACCUUUACAAAUGUUGGGGGGUCUGCUCUUCCCUUAGAAUUUUUUCAAAUUGAAAGAUGCAAGAAACUUAGAUCACUGUCAGAAGUACGCAUUGAUUCCCUUGCCAACCUUCGAUCUUUUGAUCUAAGAAGGCUUCCAAAUUUGGAAUCAUUGCCUCAAAGGUGGUUUUCCUUCUAAUUUACGAUCUUUGGAAAUUAGUGGAUGUGAGGGACUAUCUUGUAUGCCAAUUGAAGAUUGGGGUUUUCAACGGUUACUUCUCUCUCAACAUUAUGGGUUAGUGGUGAUGGAAGUGAAACUAUACUCCAUAAUUUACUAAACAAUCAAUUACUGCCCAACUCUCUUGUGGAUAUCUACGUAAGGGAUUUCUCUAAUCUUAAACGGUUAGAUCGAAAAGGGCUUCAGCACCUUACUUCUCUCGAACAACUCUCCAUUUAUAGCUGUCCAAACCUUGAAUCCUUGCCAGAAGAUGCGCUGCCACCCUCCCUUCUUCGACUAUAUAUCGGCAAGUGUCCUAAAUUAGAAGAAAGAUAUAAUUUUGAAGGAGGAAAACACUUGUCUGACAUCUCUCUUAUUCCAACCGUAUCAAUUAAUGGUGAAGUACUAUGAUCUUUGAGAUGGUGCGGCAUUGCGUCAAAAGGUUAAAGAAGAUGAGGAAGCAGUCAAAAAGAGACAAAUAUGAUAUGCAGGGAAGGCAGGCAAGAAGCUAACCCAGACAUUGUUGAGGCUAAGUACAGGUCAGAAAAUGUGAAAGAAGCUCACAAGAAUUGCUCCACUUUCAGCACCAAGAGCUGGUGAAGAAAUCAGUUAGAAUUGCUCUGUUUUAAACAGAGUCAUAUGAGAAGCAAAGAAGGCAGUUGUGCAGAAACUUGAUUCUAGUGUGUUGCUUCCUUCACAAUUGUCACGAGGCAGAAUUGAAUUUCCUCAUCAAUUUCUGUGUUACCUCAACAACAAUAAACACAACAAAGGCAUGAUAUCUAGAUUUAAUAUUAGAUACUUAGUUCAGUUUAUUGAGAUUAUUAGUGUUUUAAUGAACACUCUUUUAAUUUACCUGGACAUUCCUUUGCAUUGAUUAAUUCGCCACUUGCAAUUCCCAUAUGCUCAUUUUAUUAUAUUAAGACAAUGUCUUAAAAUGAAUAUGAUAUUUUGAUUUUGAUAAAUCAGGUCAAAAAUAGAUGUGUGGUUUUACAUAGAGCAAAUUAAGAGUUGAUAAGAAAGUAACGAACCCUAUAUAUGUUCAUAUAUAUAGAGUCUUGUAAUUUGUAACUAAGCAUGUUUUUUAAUGCAUUACUUUAAAUAAUAUGUUGU